rnacentral:rRNA from 1 species
GAUGAACGCNGGCGGCGUGCUUAACACAUGCAAGUCGAACGAGAGGUGGAGACGGAAACCUUCGGGCGGAAGACUUUACUUCGAGUGGCGGACGGGUGAGUAACGCGUGGGUAACCUGCCUCAUACAGGGGGAUAACAGUUGGAAACGACUGUUAAUACCGCAUAAGACCACAGCACCGCAUGGUGCGGGGGUAAAAACUCCGGUGGUAUGAGAUGGACCCGCGUUCGAUUAGCCAGUUGGCGGGGUAACGGCCCACCAAAGCGACGAUCGAUAGCCGAUCUGAGAGGAUGACCGGCCACAUUGGGACUGAGACACGGCCCAAACUCCUACGGGAGGCAGCAGUGGGGAAUAUUGCACAAUGGGGGAAACCCUGAUGCAGCGACGCCGCGUGAGUGAAGAAGUAUUUCGGUAUGUAAAGCUCUAUCAGCAGGGAAGAAAANGACG